GCCAUGCUCCUUCCUGCUGGAAUGAAUUGUUUGCUGGCCUUUUCUGAGAUUCCCAAGGGCUUACACGCCCUGCCCUGCCCAGACCCACACUUACUGUUGCUGUCCCCUCCAAGCGCCAGCCCGUGGGACCUCUCUUCCGCACAUGGGAUGCAUGCAGGUCUGCUGGCCCGGUUUCUGCUCAGGAUGGCGUCUUCCUCUUGUGGGGACACACUGAACAGAUGCUGAGGUAUCUGAGGAGAGAGGUUGGGUGACGGGCUGAGGAUGGGCCAUCCUGUCCAGCUGCUGGUGGACAAGGCUCAGGCCCUUGACAACUGGCCAAGCCAUCCAAAUACUGCAAAGAAGGCAGCGUGCAGGUCUGCCUCAGGUCUCCCCUCCCUCCACCUGAAGAGGAGGGCCACGUGCCCUGGUUCCAGGUGGCUUCACUGGAAGACUUACCUUUUACUACCACACUGAAGGGCCUCUCUUGAUUUGGGCAACAAUGCAGCCGCAAUCCUAUUCUGUGAAUAGGAAACUCAAGCCUGAGUUCAGUGAGGCAGAGGGCGCCCCGGAGGAGGCUAUGGUAUGGAUCGAGGGAGAGGCAGCAGUGCAGCAGAAAGAAGCGAAGUGAGAGUCUUGGUAGCUCUUUUUAUAAUUUACUGCAUCUUUCUGGAUCUGCUAAAGGCUACAUCCAAAUAUAUCACUUCCAUUGCAUGAAAGGCUGCUGGUGUGGAUGUCCAAACUUAUGUCUUUGUAGGUUAGGUAACAACACAGCUUGCACUGGGAAAUCAGAUUGCGGGGGAAUGGGCUGUCCUGUGGUCGGCUGCUGAGUCCCAGUCAGAGUUCAGUAUUAUGCCAGGAGCUGCUUUUCAAACAGUAUGGAUCUCUACCAUAGUGCAUGGCCUUGUUCUAGAAUCCGCCGGCUCUGUGCUGUGACCUUUCUAUUGAGGACUGCAUAUUCCUAUCCAGCACAGAUAUACCUAAAGCACCUUUUGACCUGUUGGUCACAUGGCCCAAGAAACAGAGUGCUUGGAACCACGAGUUGAACUUGUUGCCUAUUCAAAACUGGUGGUUUUCUGAGUCAUCAGAGAAAUGGGACUAUGUUGCCUUCAAAACCCAAAGAAACUCCCAGGCAUUAUGCCUCUGUCCUAGUGAUGUAAGAUGCAAGGUGCAGCGAUUUGUUCUUUGCCUUUGGGGGGAUGUCCCCACAUAUCCCAGACAAGUGGAACUCUAUAAAACUCACCAAUCUGGUGUGCUUCUGCGUCUUUGUGGAGCCCAUCUCCCACUUUCUCCCAUGCACAUGUCUCAGGGCACUUGGGAUAGUUAUCAGUUCCUGUUCAGUUCCAAACAGCAUGAUGUCACCAAUACAGGGGAUCAGUGUGAUGUUCUGCUAUGUCAUGACAGAGAGCAAGAGAGUUAACAUAGCCCCGAGGCAAGACAGUGAGUGUGUACUGCUGUCUCUGUUAAUUAGCAUAAAUGUCCCCUGACUCCUGCAGCUAAUAGGUUGGCAGGCACCGUGUUGAUCCGCCUCAAAUAAAGAUCUGUAUUCA